CUCAGAGUUGCGUCGGAAGCGGAAAUAAGCAUCAUCUAACCGCGAAGGAGUGCGUAAUGCCAAGAAAAUCCCAGCUGAAACUAUCUGUGAUAAUAGCGAUUUAAGGAUGACAAUCUCAGUCAUUCUCGGCUCAAACACUUUUGAGCACCCUGAGACUCUGUGGCACUGAUGCUCGGGUUAUUUUGGGAAGGCUGGAUGUGUCUGCUGGAGGGUGUGAGGACGUUUGCUCCCGGUGAGAGUCAGGAGCGAAGCAGGCAGAGGCGGGACGGGCCGGGGGAAGUUUACAAUUGCAGGCCAGGCAUCAGACACACAGCAGCACUAGAGGAGGGGAGAGGUCACCUCAAAGGUCAUUGUUAUCAUCAGAAGUCCAUGAUGCAGUUCUGCAGAGAUCAGAUACGGGGUGUGUGUGUGUGUGUGUGUGUGUGUGUGAUACUCUCAGCUUAUCAUGACAACAACUGAUUUCAUCUGAGAAUGUGAUUGAUAAA